rnacentral:lncRNA from 1 species
CAAGGACCCGCCAACAUGGGCCGCGUUCGCACCAAAACCGUAAAGAAAGCGGCCCGGGUCAUCAUUGAGAAGUACUACACGCGCCUGGGCAAUGACUUCCACACCAACAAGCGGGUGUGCGAGGAAAUCGCCAUUAUUCCCAGCAAGAAGCUUCGCAAUAAGAUCGCAGGCUACGUCACACAUCUGAUGAAGCGGAUUCAAAGAGGCCCUGUGAGAGGUAUCUCCAUCAAGCUGCAGGAGGAGGAGAGAGAGAGGAGAGACAAUUACGUGCCUGAGGUCUCAGCCCUGGAUCAGGAAAUCAUUGAAGUAGAUCCUGACACUAAGGAAAUGCUGAAGCUAUUGGACUUUGGCAGUCUGUCCAACUUGCAGGUCACUCAGCCUACAGUUGGGAUGAACUUCAAAACACCGCGUGGAGCCGUUUGAGUCUUUCUGCUGUGCUGUAAUAUUUUCAAUAAACCUCGGACAACA